rnacentral:misc_RNA from 1 species
CUGUAUACUUCAGCAUUAAUUAUAAGACCAUAUAUUUUCUUUACACUUUAGUAUUUAAUGUUUUAAUGGGUGGGGUUGGGUGGUGUGUUGGGGGUUAGUGAUUUACCCAAUAUUUUAUCUAAAUGCAAUGUUAUAUAGUUAAUGGCAUGGUGGGUAACAUGGUUUAAAAUAAUGCCCGUUACAUAAUGUGGCAGCAAGUAAUAAUAGAUUUCCAAGGGCCUGUUACUGUUAACUUUUCUAAACAAUGGGUGAUUCGUCUUUUCUUUGGGCUUACAUAAACUCAUAUCACCCAAAACUCUUAUUACAAGUUUCUUGUCUUGAUUUCACUUUGGAUGUAAGACAAUCAAAAUUAUAAGCUAAGAGUUCAUAGACUCUGCUACGCCCUUCUUUUAGUGAUGAUAAAGUUGUGUCUGUAAUUUACCUCUGUUUUGUGCUGUUUUGGAAGCUGAUUAAUCAUAAUGAAUAUAAAUCACGGAUUCAUUUUUUUUGAAAAAUUUAUUUAUGCAUCAUUUUAUGCUCAUAAGUUAGUGGCAUUUCUUAAAUUUUAGCCAAUUUCUUCAAUAUCUAUUCAUUUAAUGGAUUUUGAAAGUUUUAGAAAAAAAAAUGUGGCAUGAUUAG